rnacentral:sRNA from 1 species
CCGGCCGGGAGCGCGGGGGCGCUGGGCCCCGCUGGGAUCGAUGCGGGCGGCCGCGCCGGCUGGGCUCUGCGGGCUGGCACCCGGCCGGGGGCGGGACCCACCUCCGCUUUCGGAUCUCCUGAGGGUCCGGCAGGAGGUGGCAGCUGCAGCUCUGAGGGGCCCCAGUGGCCUGGAAGCCCACCUGCCCUCCUCCACGGCAGGUCAGCGUCGGAAGCAGGGCCUGGCUCAGCACCGGGAGGGCGCCGCCCCAGCUGCCGCCCCGUCCUUCUCGGAGAGGGAGCUGCCGCAGCCGCCCCCCUUGCUGUCGCCGCAGA